CGGCGGGCGGAAGGCAUCACUUUGUCCGGACUCUAAUUCAAAUUGUAUUCAUCCGAUCUUCACCAAACUUGGUCAGCAGUUGCAUCUAGUUGAUAUCUAGGCCAAGUUCGAAUAUGGGUCAUGCCGGGUCAAAAACUAGGUCAUAGGGUCAAUAAGUGCAUUUUCAAAGGGGCCACUUUGUCCGGACUCUAUUUCAAAUUGUAUUCAUCCGAUCUUCACCAAACUUGGUCAGCAGUUGCAUCUAGUUGAUAUAUAGGCCAAGUUCGAAUAUGGGUCAUGCCGGGUCAAAAACUAGGUCAUAGGGUCAAUUAGUGCAUUUUCAACGGCGCCACUUUGUCCGGACUCUAAUUCAAAUUGUAUUCAUCCGAUCUUCACCAAACUUGGUCAGAAGUUGUAUCUAGACAAUAUCUAGGUCAAGUUCGAAUAUGGGUCAUGCCGGGUCAAAAACUAGGUCACAGGGUCACUUAAACCAUUUCAAGCAUUUAGCAUGGUGUCCGCUCUCUAAUUGAAGUAGUUAUCAUCCGAUCUUCACCAAAUUUGGUCAGAAGUUGUGUCUAGACAAUAUCUACAUGUAGGUCAAG